UGCAUGUCAUGUGUAUUUGCAUGUGUGU
rnacentral:piRNA from 1 species